UGGGGAAUAUUGGACAAUGGGCGAAAGCCUGAUCCAGCCAUGCCGCGUGUGUGAAGAAGGUCUUCGGAUUGUAAAGCACUUUAAGUUGGGAGGAAGGGUUGUAGAUUAAUACUCUGCAAUUUUGACGUUACCGACAGAAUAAGCACCGGCUAACUCUGUGCCAGCAGCCGCGGUAAUACAGAGGGUGCAAGCGUUAAUCGGAAUUACUGGGCGUAAAGCGCGCGUAGGUGGUUUGUUAAGUUGGAUGUGAAAUCCCCGGGCUCAACCUGGGAACUGCAUUCAAAACUGACUGACUAGAGUAUGGUAGAGGGUGGUGGAAUUUCCUGUGUAGCGGUGAAAUGCGUAGAUAUAGGAAGGAACACCAGUGGCGAAGGCGACCACCUGGACUAAUACUGACACUGAGGUGCGAAAGCGUGGGGAGCAAACAGGAUUAGAUACCCCAGUAGUCCCUGAGCGGGCUGGCAAGGCGCAU
rnacentral:rRNA from 1 species